rnacentral:rRNA from 1 species
GACGAACGCUGGCGGCGUGCCUAAUACAUGCAAGUGAAGUUCAGUGGCGGACGGGUGUGUAACACGUGGGUAACCUGCCCUCCUUUUUGGGAUAAGCCUUGGAAACGGGGUCUAAUACCGCAUAACGGGGGAUGGGCUCGCGGCCUGUCAGCUUGUUGGUGGGGUGAUGGCCUACCAAGGCGGUGCCGGGUAGCCGGCCUGAGAGGGUGACCGGCAACAUAGGGAAUGAGAUACGGCCCAGACUCGUAAGUGAGGCAGCAGUGGGGGAAAUUGCACAAUGGGCGAAAGCGUGAUGCAGCGACGACGCGUGAGGGAUGAAGGCUUUAGGGUGGUAAAACUCUGUAGCUAUCGAACGGGUAGGUGGAGAAGAAGCGCCGGCUAACUACGUGCCAGCAGCCGCGGUAAUAG